AUAGCCGCUCGAAUAACCGGAAGGUGGAAGAAGAGCAUCACCAUUCGGUUCAGACAGUGGCUAAUAACAAAAGGGGACUGAUAAAAAGGUCCUCUUCCGAAUCUGUUUGAGGGUAAGGAACCAUUCUCUUCAGCCAGUCCUUUCCUAGUUUGGUUCGGAUAUUC
rfam:Vitis vinifera, whole genome shotgun sequence of line PN40024, unoriented chromosome 8, chr8